rnacentral:rRNA from 1 species
AGAGUUUGAUCCUGGCUCAGGAUGAACGCUAGCGGCAGGCUUAAUACAUGCAAGUCGAGGGGUAACGACAUCUUCGGAUGGGCGACGACCGGCGCACGGGUGCGUAACACGUAUGCAACCUACCUUCAACUGGGGAAUAGCCCCGAGAAAUCGGGAUUAAUACCCCAUAAUAUUUAUCAUUCGCAUGUUUGAUAAAUUAAAACUCCGGUGGUUGAAGAUGGGCAUGCGCGACAUUAGUUAGUUGGUGAGGUAACGGCUCACCAAGACAGCGAUGUCUAGGGGUUCUGAGAGGAACACCCCCCACACUGGUACUGAGACACGGACCAGACUCCUACGGGAGGCAGCAGUAAGGAAUAUUGGUCAAUGGACGAAAGUCUGAACCAGCCAUGCCGCGUGCAGGAUGACAGCCCUAUGGGUUGUAAACUGCUUUUAUAUAGGAAGAAACUUUCGUACGUGUACGAAACUGACGGUACUAUAUGAAUAAGGACCGGCUAACUCCGUGCCAGCAGCCGCGGUAAUACGGAGGGUCCAAGCGUUAUCCGGAUUCAUUGGGUUUAAAGGGUGCGCAGGCGGACCGAUAAGUCAGUGGUGAAAUCUUACAGCUCAACUGUAGAACUGCCAUUGAUACUGUCGAUCUUGAGUAUAGUUGAAGUGGGCGGAAUAUAUCAUGUAGCGGUGAAAUGCAUAGAUAUGAUAUAGAACUCCGAUAGCGAAGGCAGCUCACUAACCUAUAACUGACGCUCAGGCACGAAAGCGUGGGGAGCAAACAGGAUUAGAUACCCUGGUAGUCCACGCCGUAAACGAUGAUCACUCGUUGUUGGCAAUACAUCGUCAGCGACUGAACGAAAGUAUUAAGUGAUCCACCUGGGAAGUACGAUCGCAAGGUUGAAACUCAAAGGUAUUGACGGGGGCCCGCACAAGCGGAGGAGCAUGUGGUUUAAUUCGAUGAUACGCGAGGAACCUUACCUGGGCUUAAAUGUUUAAUGACCGACUGGGAAACCAGUCUUCUCUUCGGAGCAUUUUACAAGGUGCUGCAUGGUUGUCGUCAGCUCGUGCCGUGAGGUGUCGGGUUAAGUCCCAUAACGAGCGCAACCCCUAUUCUUAGUUGCCAUCAGGUCAAGCUGGGGACUCUAAGAAAGCUGCCUACGCAAGUAGUGAGGAAGGUGGGGAUGACGUCAAAUCAGCACGGCCCUUAUGUCCAGGGCUACACACGUGCUACAAUGGUCGGUACAGAGGGUCGCUACAUGGUGACAUGAUGCUAAUCUCGAAAACCGAUCUCAGUUCGGAUCGAAGUCUGCAACUCGACUUCGUGAAGCUGGAUUCGCUAGUAAUCGCAUAUCAGCAAUGGUGCGGUGAAUACGUUCCCGGGCCUUGUACACACCGCCCGUCAAGCCAUGGAAGCUGGGGGGGCAUGGGAAGU